rnacentral:rRNA from 1 species
GGGGAAUAUUGGACAAUGGGCGCAAGCCUGAUCCAGCCAUGCCGCGUGGGUGAAGAAGGCCUUCGGGUUGUAAAGCCCUUUUGUUGGGAAAGAAAAGCAGCCGGCCAAUACCCGGUUGUUCUGACGGUACCCAAAGAAUAAGCACCGGCUAACUUCGUGCCAGCAGCCGCGGUAAUACGAAGGGUGCAAGCGUUACUCGGAAUUACUGGGCGUAAAGCGUGCGUAGGUGGUGGUUUAAGUCCGUUGUGAAAGCCCUGGGCUCAACCUGGGAACUGCAUUCAAAACUGACUGACUAGAGUAUGGUAGAGGGUGGUGGAAUUUCCUGUGUAGCGGUGAAAUGCGUAGAGAUCGGGAGGAACAUCAGUGGCGAAGGCGACUGCCUGGGCCAACACUGACACUGAGGCACGAAAGCGUGGGGAGCAAACA